rnacentral:rRNA from 1 species
UACGAAGGGGGCUAGCGUUGCUCGGAAUUACUGGGCGUAAAGGGCGCGUAGGCGGACAGUUAAGUCAGAGGUGAAAGCCCAGGGCUCAACCCUGGAAUUGCCUUUGAUACUGGCUGUCUUGAGUGCGGGAGAGGUGUGUGGAACUCCGAGUGUAGAGGUGAAAUUCGUAGAUAUUCGGAAGAACACCGGUGGCGAAGGCGGCCCACUGGAUCGGUACUGACGCUGAGGUGCGAAAGCGUGGGGAGCAAACAGG